rnacentral:rRNA from 1 species
CCUCCUAAAGAGUAACGGAGGAGCACGAAGGUUGGCUAAUCCUGGUCGGACAUCAGGAGGUUAGUGCAAUGGCAUAAGCCAGCUUGACUGCGAGCGUGACGGCGCGAGCAGGUGCGAAAGCAGGUCAUAGUGAUCCGGUGGUUCUGAAUGGAAGGGCCAUCGCUCAACGGAUAAAAGGUACUCCGGGGAUAACAGGCUGAUACCGCCCAAGAGUUCAUAUCGACGGCGGUGUUUGGCACCUCGAUGUCGGCUCAUCACAUCCUGGGGCUGAAGUAGGUCCCAAGGGUAUGGCUGUUCGCCAUUUAAAGUGGUACGCGAGCUGGGUUUAGAACGUCGUGAGACAGUUCGGUCCCUAUCUGCCGUGGGCGCUGGAGAACUGAGGGGGGCUGCUCCUAGUACGAGAGGACCGGAGUGGACGCAUCACUGGUGUUCGGGUUGUCAUGCCAAUGGCACUGCCCGGUAGCUAAAUGCGGAAGAGAUAAGUGCUGAAAGCAUCUAAGCACGAAACUUGCCCCGAGAUGAGUUCUCCCUGACCCUUUAAGGGUCCUGAAGGAACGUUGAAGACGACGACGUUGAUAGGCCGGGUGUGUAAGCGCAGCGAUGCGUUGAGCUAACCGGUACUAAUGAACCGUGAGGCUUAACCUUACAACGCCGAAGGUGUUU